UGCUGCGUGGCAUUCAGUGUAUGUG
rnacentral:piRNA from 1 species